UUUCUGUAGGUUCUUACGUGCGGAAGGAUCAUUACCGAGUGAGGGCCCUCUGGGUCCAACCUCCCCACCCGUGUUUAUUAUACCUUGUUGCUUCGGCGGGCCCGCCUCACGGCCGCCGGGGGGCACCUGCCCCCGGGCCCGCGCCCGCCGAAAACACCAUUGAACUCUGUCUGAAGAUUGCAGUCUGAGCAGAUUAGCUAAAUCAGUUAAAACUUUCAACAACGGAUCUCUUGGUUCCGGCAUCGAUGAAGAACGCAGCGAAAUGCGAUAAGUAAUGUGAAUUGCAGAAUUCAGUGAAUCAUCGAGUCUUUGAACGCACAUUGCGCCCCCUGGUAUUCCGGGGGGCAUGCCUGUCCGAGCGUCAUUGCUGCCCUCAAGCACGGCUUGUGUGUUGGGCUUCGCCCCCCGGCUCCCGGGGGGCGGGCCCGAAAGGCAGCGGCGGCACCGCGUCCGGUCCUCGAGCGUAUGGGGCUUUGUCACCCGCUCUGUAGGCCCGGCCGGCGCCCGCCGGCGACCCCAAUCAAUCUUUCCAGGUUGACCUCGGAUCAAGUGGGGAUACCCGCUGAACUUAAGCAUAUCGAUAAGUGGGGACAGGAGGACCAACAGGGAU
rnacentral:rRNA from 1 species